AAAAAAUCUCCCUUUUGCCCUCAUGAGACUCUGCACAACACCAAAGUCACCCUCUUUUUAUAGUCCCUUCGAAAUCAUGUAUGACCAAACUUUUGUCUUGGGGCCUCCAUCUUACCAGACACUGAGCCACUCAGGAAUUACCUCCCUUUCUUAAUCCAGACACGGUCUUUCAUUCAUGAAGCAGCAGAUGAGGCCAUGCCCCUUCCUGUCAACACCUCUUUGUCCUCUCAACAUAACUGUCUUGCAGGCACAGACGUGUUUAUCUGCCAACCCGACCGUCACAACAACCUACAGCCGAAGUGGACAGGCCCCUACACUGUGAUACUCAGCACACCAACUGCAGUGAGAGUCCAAGGACUCCCCUGCUGGAUCCAUCGUACCAGGGUCAAUCUCACCCCCAAGGCUACUCCUUCCUCCAAAACAUUAACAGCGGGCAACACCCUCAGAGUCCCUGUAUACAAUAACGUAAACAACAACAACAACAAAAAGAUCCUUAAAGGUAGGAGGAAGCCAAAGAUGGCAACGGGACGAAUGACUUCUGCAACGGAUCAUCGAAUAUUAUGGUCCUGCCACUUGGGCUGAGGAUGGUUCAUGGGGUUAUCACCUCCCAUAUAUAUUCGAAAUAGAAUAAUUAGACUACAGGCGAUUCUAGAGAUAAUCACUAACCAAACUGCUUCAGCCCUGGAAACGCUUGCGCAACAACAAAACCAAAUACCCCCGGCAAUUUAUCAAAACAGGCCAGCACCAGACUACUUAUCAGCAGAAGAAGGUGGGGUCUGUGGGCCAGUCCCAAAGCGCAAGACCACCUGCGCCAGCAGCGUGCGUCAGCAGGAUAGCAGAAGCAGGAAGAGAGCUGGCUGGAAGACACGUACCCCCUGAAGACCGAGAGAGAGGCCGUCCGGGUACUGCGUAGCAGUUACAUCAGACUGAGACACGUCCUGUUUACAGGAGACUAUAAAACCCCUGCCCCAUCCUCAUUUGGUGCUGACGCCGUUUUAGGCCUCAGCCUGUCUGCACCCAGGCGCUCAUUAAAACAGCGUGUUGCUCCAC
rnacentral:lncRNA from 1 species